CCUACGGGUGGCAGCAGUGAGGAAUCUUGGUCAAUGGGCGCGAGCCUGAACCAGCCAAGUAGCGUGAAGGAUGACUGCCCUACGGGUUGUAAACUUCUUUUAUAAAGGAAUAAAGUGAGGCACGUGUGCCUUUUUGCAUGUACUGUAUGAAUCCGGAUCGGCUAACUCCGUGCCAGCAGCCGCGGUAAUACGGAGGAGCCGAGCGUUAUCCGGAUUUGUUGGGUUUAAGGGGAGCGUAGAUGGGUUGUUAAGUCAGGUGUGAAAGUUUGCGGCUCAACCGUAAAAGUGCAAUUGAUACUGGCAGCCUUGAGUACAGUUGAGGUAGGCGGAAUUCGUGGUGUAGCGGUGAAAUGCUUAGAUAUAACGAAGAACUCCGAUGGCGAAGGCAGCUUACUAAACUGCCACUGACAUUGAGGCUCGAAAGUGUGGGUAUCAAACAGGAUUAGAUACCCGGGUAGUC
rnacentral:rRNA from 1 species